rnacentral:misc_RNA from 1 species
GAUGAAGAACGUAGCGAAAUGCGAUAAGUAAUGCGAAUUGCAGAAUUUCCGUGAGUCAUCGAAUCUUUGAACGCACAUUGCGCCCACUGGUAUUCCGGUGGGCAUGCCUGUUCGAGCGUCAUUAUCCUCCCUCAAACCCCGGGUUUGGUGUUGGACCCAAGUUGUGUGAACAACUGGUCUCAAAGACAAUGACGGCGUCCGUGGGACCCUCGGUGCAACGAGCUUUUAGGAGCACGCAUCGAGUUGCAAGGACCUUCCGGGCCGGUCUCCUUUACCAUUUUACAAGGUUGACCUCGGAUCAGGUAGGAAUACCCGCUGAACUUAAGCAUGUCAAUAAGCGGAGGA